UUCUCAGUCGAUCAUCCAUUUUUUUGUUUAAAUGAAAACCCUAAUUUCGAAGUGUUCUGAGUAAUCGGUUCUUCUGGUAUCGUGAAUGCAUUUCGUCCAUCGCGUGAAUACAUAUAUACACACACACACAUAUAUAUAUAUAUAUACUUUCACCAGAUAACGUGUCAGUAUCGUGAAAUAGCAUUAAUAGGGUUAGGUUUUUGUCCAAAAGUGACGAACUUGAGUUUGCAGAAAUUAUAGGUUCCCAUAGAGUUGAUGUGAUCGUCGAUUUUCAUUUGAAGGAUUAUUCUUUGAGAGUAUUGAGUUGCUAUUUUUCAAACUCAGACUUUUUUCGUUUGAUUAAGAAGGAUUAUGAUGUUAAAAGAGUCUUGGGCUAAAUGUUUUAGAAAAAUUUGUUGGGUUUAAGCAUAUUUAAACUCUAUGCUAUCAGAAAUUGUUGAAACUUCAAUUCUGUAUAACAAUCAGACUAUAAUUUCAUAUAUAAUCGAAGCUUAGUCAAUCUUCCAUCUUGAUUUGAAGCAGUUACUCAUGUGGGUAACUAAAAUAUAUAAUGAAGAUGUAACAGAAGAAAAAGUUGGAUUUUCUGAGGAAAAUUUGGCUUUCUCAGUGGGAAACCUCAAAUCUGGAAAGUGGAGAGUGGGUAUAUGCCAAAUGUAUAAACUACUGAUUAAUGUCCUUGGCCCGGAACUUGGGAUUGAUUUUUUUUCGUGAGCAUGCCGUGGUGUUAGCUUGAGCUUUAUAUGAUCCUACUGCAGAACCAUGAAUAGCGAUGCAGGUUACCUGUCACUACAUGAAUGCAAGAGCCAAAAGGAAGGAAGAUGAAUCUAGAUGGUCAACUGGGCAUGCUUUGAAUGAAUGGAUUUGUGGUUACCUAUCUGAAUAGCUAGAAGUGCUGCUUGUGAAGAAGCUGCAGAUUCCGCCUGAUUUCUCCAUUUGCAAUUGUGAGUUUACAGAGGACAAACUUGUCACCUUUGAGGAUGGCAAACUUUCAUUUUAAGCAGUAAGUUGCUGAUGAGUUUACCAUCCUUUUUUUUUUUUCCUUCCCCUGUUGUUGCGAAAGAAUGUGCCUUUUUCUAGGCUCUCCUCUUCAUAUUAGUUUUAUAUAAAUUUUUAUGUUCCUUCCCCCCUCCCUUAUUUUCCCUCUUUUCUUGAGUUAAUAUGGCCAGCAUUGAAUUUUUCUUUUUUCCUUUUUUGGAUGGAUUUAAUACAUUGGGUGAAUUACUCAGCCCUCUUAUGAGGUUUGGAGUUUUCACCCAUAGAUGAAACCUUGGUCAAAUCUGCGGUCAACUCCCCUGAAACCUUGUAAAGUAUUAGCCAUUAAAGCUGUGUCAGAAUUUAUGGCCGUUGCAAUGUCAGUGUGGUGCUCUGUUAGGAAUUUGUGGGUCCUUUGGAUGGGGAUGAACCUUUGAGCUCAUCGCUCUAAUACUUCUUAGAGGCCCUUCAUAUGUGCUGCUGUUGGUCGCACCACUUUUUCAAAUGGUAAGAAUUUAGUUGCCCACUUGCAAAUUUAGUUAUGUUAUGUUUUAAAGUCUCAGCCUUCAUAAAAGUUGAGUCACCUGUUGUUGGAUUUAGGAUGCAUCAAUUCCUUGCAUGAUUUAGUGUUGGAUCAGCAGCUGGUUAUUUAAGAUUAUUAAUUAUCAAGCUUUCCAAGAGAGAGUUCUGUCCUACAUUCGGUGACUAAAGUACUACUUUUUGGCAAGGUUGUAAACUUCAUCUUGAUAUGUUUAUGGACACAAGAUUUGCGAAAUAAACAGUUAACAUUUAUGGAAAGCAUAGUAUCUCAGGAAUUUUAUUCAUUGUGAAGAACUGACAAUCCUUGACAUGGUUGGAUGACUUUAAGAGCAAUGUGCCACGUCAAUAUUUUGUGAACUGCA